CCUACGGGGGGCAGCAGUGGGGAAUUUUGGACAAUGGGCAAAAGCCUGAUCCAGCAAUGCCGCGUGUGUGAAGAAGGUCUUCGGAUUGUAAAGCACUUUCGACGGGGACGAUGAUGACGGUACCCGUAGAAGAAGCCCCGGCUAACUUCGUGCCAGCAGCCGCGGUAAUACGAAGGGGGCUAGCGUUGCUCGGAAUGACUGGGCGUAAAGGGCGCGUAGGCGGUUCAUGCAGUCAGAUGUGAAAUCCCCGGGCUUAACCUGGGAACUGCAUUUGAGACGCAUAGACUAGAGGUCGAGAGAGGGUUGUGGAAUUCCCAGUGUAGAGGUGAAAUUCGUAGAUAUUCGGAGGAACACCAGUGGCGAAGGCGGCUACUGGUCUGCAACUGACGCCGAGGCGCGAAAGCGUGGGGAGCAAACAGGAUUAGAUACCCGAGUAGUC
rnacentral:rRNA from 1 species